rnacentral:rRNA from 1 species
GUGGGGAAUCUUCCGCAAUGGACGAAAGUCUGACGGAGCAACGCCGCGUGAGUGAUGAAGGUCUUCGGAUUGUAAAGCUCUGUUAAUCGGGACGAAAGAGCCUAGUGUGAAUAAUGCUAGGAAGUGACGGUACCGGAAUAGAAAGCCACGGCUAACUACGUGCCAGCAGCCGCGGUAAUACGUAGGUGGCAAGCGUUGUCCGGAAUUAUUGGGCGUAAAGCGCGCGCAGGCGGAUCUGCCAGUCUGUCUUAAAAGUUCGGGGCUUAACCCCGUGUUGGGAUGGAAACUACAGAUCUAGAGUAUCGGAGAGGAAAGUGGAAUUCCUAGUGUAGCGGUGAAAUGCGUAGAUAUUAGGAAGAACACCAGUGGCGAAGGCGACUUUCUGGACGAAAACUGACGCUGAGGCGCGAAAGCCAGGGGAGCGAACGGGAUUAGAUACCCUGGUAGUCC